CCUACGGGAGGCUGCAGUGGGGAAUAUUGGACAAUGGGCGAAAGCCUGAUCCAGCCAUGCCGCGUGUGUGAAGAAGGCCUUCGGGUUGUAAAGCACUUUCAGUGGGGAAGAAAGCCUUGGGGCUAAUACCCUCGAGGAAGGACAUCACCCACAGAAGAAGCACCGGCUAACUCCGUGCCAGCAGCCGCGGUAAUACGGAGGGUGCGAGCGUUAAUCGGAAUUACUGGGCGUAAAGCGCGCGUAGGCGGUCUGAUAAGCCGGUUGUGAAAGCCCCGGGCUCAACCUGGGAACGGCAUCCGGAACUGUCGGGCUAGAGUGCAGGAGAGGAAGGUAGAAUUCCCGGUGUAGCGGUGAAAUGCGUAGCGAUCGGGAGGAAUACCAGUGGCGAAGGCGGCCUUCUGGACUGACACUGACGCUGAGGUGCGAAAGCGUGGGUAGCAAACAGGAUUAGAUACCCUUGUAGUC
rnacentral:rRNA from 1 species